UACGUAGGGGGGCAAGCGUUGUCCGGAAUCAUUGGGCGUAAAGAGCGUGUAGGCGGCCCGAUAAGUCCGCUGUGAAAGUCCAGGGCUCAACCCUGGAAUGCCGGUGGAUACUGUCGGGCUCGAAUCCGGAAGAGGUGAGUGGAAUUCCUGGUGUAGCGGUGAAAUGCGCAGAUAUCAGGAGGAACACCAGCGGCGAAGGCGGCGCUCUGGGCCGGUUACUGACGCUGAGACGCGAAAGCGUGGGGAGCAAACAGG
rnacentral:rRNA from 1 species